UACGUAGGUCCCGAGCGUUGUCCGGAUUUAUUGGGCGUAAAGCGAGCGCAGGUGGUUUAUUAAGUCUGGUGUAAAAGGCAGUGGCUCAACCAUUGUAUGCAUUGGAAACUGGUAGACUUGAGUGCAGGAGAGGAGAGUGGAAUUCCAUGUGUAGCGGUGAAAUGCGCAGAUAUAUGGAGGAACACCGGUGGCGAAAGCAGCUCUCUGGCCUGUAACUGACACUGAGGCUCGAAAGCGUGGGGAGCAAACAGG
rnacentral:rRNA from 1 species